rnacentral:rRNA from 1 species
GACGAGGGGUCCUAGCGUUGUUCGGAAUCAUUGGGCGUAAAGCGCAUGUAGGUGGCUAUGUAAGUCAGAUGUGAAAUCCCUGGGCUUAACCCAGGACGUGCAUUUGAUACUGCGUAGCUUGAAUAUGGGAGAGGGUAGUGGAAUUCCUGGUGUAGUGGUGAAAUACGUAGAUAUCAGGAGGAACACCGGUGGCGAAGGCGGCUACCUGGCCCAAUAUUGACACUGAGAUGCGAAAGCGUGGGGAUCAAACAGG